rnacentral:piRNA from 1 species
AGUGGAUGCUGGGAACCAAACUCA